rnacentral:sRNA from 1 species
UCGUGUCGGAAUGGGCGCGGCGCCGGAAAGACCGUGCGAUCUUGCGUCCGGCGGCGGCCAGCCUGUUGCCUGAAGCGCAACGCACCGAUCGUAUGCAUGCGACGCGCCCUAGGUUGUUGUCU